AUGAAAGGAGAUCUGGAAGGAGAGAGAAGACCUAGAAAAUAUGACAGCAGAGAUAAGAAAGGAGACAUGAGUCAACAGAGAGAAAGAAAGCUGGAAAGAGCUUUAGAAUAUAAAUUGUCUAAGAGACAUAAGAUCUAGAAUGAGACAAUAGUCUAAGACAUGAUGUAGGAAGGAGAGAUCUAGAAUGAGACAAUGGUUUGAAGUGGGAAAGGGUCUGGAAGAAGAGAUCUAGAAUGAGCUAAAUGGCCCGAGAGACGGGAGAUCGGGAAUGAGCUAAAUGGCCCGAGAGACGGGAGAUCGGGAAUGAGCUAAAUGGCCCGAGAGACGGGAGAUCGGGAAUGAGCUAAAUGGCCCGAGAGACGGGAGAUCGGGAAUGAGCUAAAUGGCCCGAGAGACGGG